CAUAAUUUAUUUGUGGAAAGUGGCGGUUUUUUAGUGAAUUUGGCAGUUUUAAAUGCCAGUAUCUCAUUAUCUGCUUCCCUAAUAUAAAAACCUAACUCUAGUAUUUCACUGAUAGAGGAUGUACUACUCAAUCGGCUGAAACUCCAUCGCAACGUGAGAACUAAGAAGAAACUCCAUCGCAGCAUGAGAUCUGUGAUCUCAUCCACGAUGCUCUCCUCUGGCGGCAAGCUCUUCCAUCAACGCUUUUCCUCCAGUUGCAAUAUCCUCCAUCGAAAUUUCCUGUUCCAUCGUGUUGUGCUCUGUGAAGCUUCUCUUUCUCCAUCUUCGUUGAACUAGGUUUUGAUUUUCUCAUUGUUAGCAAAAAUUGGAGGCAAUCGAAGAUUCUAGAAUCUCGAUCGUGGUUUUCUCCAGAAGCUAUGGGGAUUCGACGUGGUGGUUGAAGGAAUUGAAGAAGAUAAUAGAGUGUUUAAUAUAUUUGCCAUUUUUUAUGUUAAAGUUCAAACUUCACAUUACCAGCUAGUUAAAGUUCAAACUUCAAACGUCAGUUUUUAGAUCAUGAAUUUUUUACUUCACAUUACUUGAUAUAUAUUUGCCAUUUCUUUUUAUUGUAUAUUCUUUAACUAUUUUGUGCUAAUAAUUAAUAUGAAAAAUAAUCAUUCGUCCUUCCUUCUUCAUGAGGCACAAGGAAUACUAUAGGUUUGUGUAAUCAAUGAUGUGAACAACCUAUUGUUCAUUGUGAUCUAAAGCCAGAAAAUGUGCUUCUUGAUGAUGACAUGGUUGCUCAUGUGACUAAUUUUGGAUUAGCAAGGCUUCUCUCAAUGACUAAUGGUGAUCCUCAUAAUCAAUCUAGCACAACUAUGUUAAAGGGAACUAUUGGAUAUGCUCCUCCGAGUAUGAAAUGAGUUGUGAGGUGUCAAUGCAAGGUAAUGUGUAUUCUUUUGGAAUUCUAGUAUUAGAAAUGGUGACUGGAAGGAGGCCAAUGGAAGAAAUGUUUAAAGAUGAUAACAAUCUAGCCAUGGUGCAAAUUGCGAGCUUCCCAGAGACAAUCUUGUGCAAUGGCCAUGGCCAAGGCUAAGCUUGUCUCUCUUAUACUUCUGGCACUACUCAUUGCCAUUUCUGCGAUCUCAACUCAGCAGGUUAUGGC